CUUGGUCCUGUCAAAACUGGAGGAUUGCGCUAUCCCUUCUUUUCAAUAAUUCCACACACAAUGAGGGGAUAAUGAGGAGAUAAUUUAGCUAACCUAUUACUUAAUCCAAUCUUCUUAGGCUCACAAUUAGGUGCCUAAUUAAAUCCAAAUAGAUUUAGGUUAGGUUCAAGACAAUGGACUUGAUCCAAUCGAAGUCUUGAGAAAAAUUAAGUUUAACCAUGUGCUAGCAUGGUUCUCUUAAAUCCAAUAAGAUUUCAAUAAAUCCUAACCCAAUUAGAACUUCAUAAGCCCAAUUGGUAAUUCAAAAUUAAAUUUCUUAAUGUGUGACCCCAU
rnacentral:lncRNA from 1 species